GACGAACGCUGGCGGCGUGCCUAAUACAUGCAAGUAGAACGCUGAAGAGAGGAGCUUGCUCUUCUUGGAUGAGUUGCGAACGGGUGAGUAACGCGUAGGUAACCUGCCUGGUAGCGGGGGAUAACUAUUGGAAACGAUAGCUAAUACCGCAUGAUAUUAAUUGUUGCAUGAUAAUUAAUUGAAAGAUGCAAUUGCAUCACUACCAGAUGGACCUGCGUUGUAUUAGCUAGUUGGUGAGGUAACGGCUCACCAAGGCGACGAUACAUAGCCGACCUGAGAGGGUGAUCGGACACACUGGGACUGAGACACGGCCCAGACUCCUACGGGAGGCAGCAGUAGGGAAUCUUCGGCAAUGGGGGGAACCCUGACCGAGCAACGCCGCGUGAGUGAAGAAGGUUUUCGGAUCGUAAAGCUCUGUUGUAAGAGAAAGAACGGGUGUGAGAAGU
rnacentral:rRNA from 1 species